AUGUAUAUAAAGUACUUAGCAUUGCAAGCAUUCAAUAAAGACUACUAUUUCUCUCUGUCAACCUCCCAUCAUCCUUUUCUUUUUCCAGAAUUGAGAAUCACCAGAGAACUCUGUUCCAGGAAUCAAGUGAUUAAAGUUACAGUUCCAGCAUCAUCACUAAAUAGCAAGAUAUUUACUGAAUACCUGCCAUGUUCCAAACAUUCAGAAAGGAGUUGUAAUUGAUAAAGAAGACACCUGUCUACAAGAAGCUUGCAGUCUACUGGCCAGAGAUGAGAUGUGUUCACAGAUAACCAUGCUGCAAGUUAAGUAAAGAAGAAUCUGUAAGAGUGCUAUGCCACUGUGACUUGUUCUUUGAACAAGCUUGGUGUGUGAAAUGAAAUCACAAAGCAACUUUCUUUGAUUUCCUACUAUCCACUUACAUUUACUUAAGGAGGAAAGUUCUUCUAACCCCAAAUAUGUACUUGGAAAGAUCCAUGACCUUUAGGAACAUUUGGGGGGAAAUAAAAUGUUCAAUGAUACCUGAAAUCAUAUCUAGAUUCAACUCAUAUUUAGAAUGCCCGAUCCCAUGUAAUGGUCAAAGCUUCCAACUUCAUACAAAGUUAUAGCUGGUUUCUCUCUCCCCAGCCAGUGCCUGCAGCAGGGCAGGGGUUGAAUGGUCAGCUUCUAUCUGCAGAGGUCCUAUUGUCCCUGCGUGCGGCCCAGUGGGCAGGGCCUAACUUUGUACCGUCCCAGCUCUCUUGCUUGCAAAGCCCAUAUGCAAACACUAGGAAACACUUAGGCAUCUUUGCCUGAACAGAUACGGGGAGAGCAACUCAUCCAUGUGCCACCUCCUCUGCUUUCCUUGCUGUCACCCAGAUUUUACAGGUGAAGGUCACAUGUCAGGCACUCAUUCUCCCACACUACAGGCGACACACACUCUGCUGUCUGAGUGGUCCCAGAGAAGAGCCCCUAGUAGACUCGAGAUAAGGUAUAGUCACACCUGCCUCUCCCCUUAGGGAGGUGGAACUCACAACUCAGCUGUCUCUAAGAAUCCCUCUUCGCAAAUACCUUCCUGUCAAUCUCCCACACACUUAUUUUUUAAAUAUCCUUGACAAGAGUAAGGGUUUUGAGCUGUGAAACCAGUUUCUGGAUAUUUCCUUUGAAAUUUCCAUCCCAGUCUGGCUCCUUGCUGGAGCAGCCAAUAUUCUGCCAUUUCAGGUGCUGAGCCCUGGCCUGGCAGGUGACAGCAGGGAGAGGCCAAUUCCAGCAGAGGAGAUUCCAGGCAUGUGGGGAUAUGGUGGUGUUCUCCAUGGCGCGAGAAGCAGGGCGUUAAUAAAACAGUGCCAGGAAUAACCCUGUGAUUGAUGGGUAAAGGUCAUGGACUCUGGGAUACUGGCAUGCACUGAUGGGAAACUGUUAGGUCUGGACCGGGAUCAUCUCUGGCUUCCUGCUUCCCUCAGGUACCAGGAUGCUCUGCUAUGGUCUCUGGCAAAACUGAGCACCGGGGCUGGGAACAUAAUUUUGCCUGGGACAGCUGCUGUAGGCGCUUCAGAAUGCCUGGUUUCCUAAAUUUUAUUGGUGUCAGGAUAGAGCUUUGUUAAGCUUUAAUGUGCUAUUAAUUAUUUGGG
ensembl:lncRNA